rnacentral:rRNA from 1 species
UACGAAGGGGGCUAGCGUUGCUCGGAAUUACUGGGCGUAAAGGGCGCGUAGGCGGCCCUACAAGUCAGGCGUGAAAUUCCCGGGCUCAACCUGGGGGCUGCGCUUGAGACUGUGGGGCUAGAGGCCGAGAGAGGGUGGUGGAAUUCCCAGUGUAGAGGUGAAAUUCGUAGAUAUUGGGAAGAACACCGGUGGCGAAGGCGGCCACCUGGCUCGGUACUGACGCUGAGGCGCGACAGCGUGGGGAGCAAACAGGAUUAGAUACCCUGGUAGUCCACGCCGUAAACGAUGUGUGCUGGAUGUUGGAGUUCCUAGAACUUCAGUGUCGUAGCUAACGCGGUAAGCACACCGCCUGGGGAGUACGGCCGCAAGGUUGAA